GCUCACCUCGCACAGUCGAGCGGACAGAUGGGAGCUUGCUCCCUGAUGUUAGCGGCGGACGGGUGAGUAACACGUGGGUAACCUGCCUGUAAGACUGGGAUAACUCCGGGAAACCGGGGCUAAUACCGGAUGGUUGUUUGAACCGCAUGGUUCAAACAUAAAAGGUGGCUUCGGCUACCACUUACAAAUGGACCCGCGGCGCAUUAGCUAGUUGGUGAGGUAACGGCUCACCAAGGCAACGAUGCGUAGCCAACCUGAAAGGGUGAUCGGCCACACUGGAACUGAAACACGGCCCAAACUCCUACGGAAGGCACCAGUAGGAAAUCUUCCGCAAUGAACAAAAGUCUGACGAAACAACCCCGCGUGAGUGAUGAAGGUUUUCGAAUCGUAAAGUUCUGUUGUAAGGAAAAACCAAUAACCUUUCAAAUAGGUCGCUCCCUUCACGAAACCUA
rnacentral:rRNA from 1 species